rnacentral:tRNA from 1 species
GAACUGGUAGCUCAGAGGGCAGAGCGGCUGGCUGAAUCCCAGCAGACGCAGGUUCGAGUCCUGCCCCGUUCACCA